rnacentral:rRNA from 1 species
UACGAAGGGUGCAAGCGUUGUUCGGAAUUAUUGGGCGUAAAGCGCACGUAGGCGGCCUUGUAAGUCUCACUGUGAAAGUCCGGGGCUCAACCCCGGGAUGCCAGGGGAUACUGCGAGGCUUGAGACAAGUAGAGGUUGGUAGAAUUCCGGGUGUAGCGGUGGAAUGCGUAGAGAUCCGGAGGAAUACCAGAGGCGAAGGCGGCCAACUGGGCUUGUUCUGACGCUGAGGUGCGAAAGCCAGGGGAGCGAACGGG